rnacentral:rRNA from 1 species
CCAAGGAGUCUAACAUGUGCGCAAGUCAUUGGGGAUCUCUCGAGACCCACAGGCGCAAUGAAAGUGAAGGUAGGGGCUUGUCCCCACUGAGGCGGGAUCCGUCCGGGUUUGAUAUUGACAAAUCUUAAAUGAAUUUCUUACCCGGCGGCGCACCGCCGGCCCGUCGCAACCGCUACUUGCCGGUGCGGCGGAGCAAGAGCGUACACGUUGGGACCCGAAAGAUGGUGAUCUAUGCCUGGGCAGGACGAAGCCAGAGGAAACUCUGGUGGAGGUCCGUAGCGAUUCUGACGUGCAAAUCGAUCGUCGGACCUGGGUAUAGGGGCGAAAGACUAAUCGAACCGUGUA